rnacentral:tRNA from 18 species
GCCGACGUAGCUCAGAUGGUAGAGCAACCGAUUCGUAAUCGGUAGGUCCGCAGUUCGAUUCUGCGCGUCGGCACCA